GAGCGAGAAAGGGACUUCGGUCCUGAGUAAAGCGGCGCACGGGUGCGUAACACGUGGGUAAUCUUCCUCNCGGGUUGGGAAUAACCCUUCGAAAGGAGGGCUAAUACCGAAUCAGCCCACGAUCUCUUUGGAGAUUGAGGGAAAAGGUGGCCUCUGCAUGCAAGCUAUCGCCUGGAGAUGAGCCCGCGGCCCAUCAUGCUAGUUGGCGGGGUAACGGCCCACCAAGGCGACGACGGGUAGCUGGUCUGAGAGGACGAUCAGCCACACUGGAACUGAGACACGGUCCAGACUCCUACGGGAGGCAGCAGUGGGGAAUCUUGCGCAAUGGGCGAAAGCCUGACGCAGCAACGCCGCGUGAGUGAUGAAGGCCCUCGGGUCGUAAAGCUCUUUCGGAAGGGACGAAACUGGUCCGGGAUAACAAACCGGGCUCCUGACGGUACCUUAAGAAGAAGCACCGGCUAACUCUGUG
rnacentral:rRNA from 1 species